CUACGGAGGAUCCGAGCGUUAUCCGGAUUUAUUGGGUUUAAAGGGAGCGUAGGUGGAUUGUUAAGUCAGUUGUGAAAGUUUGCGGCUCAACCGUAAAAUUGCAGUUGAAACUGGCAGUCUUGAGUACAGUAGAGGUGGGCGGAAUUCGUGGUGUAGCGGUGAAAUGCUUAGAUAUCACGAAGAACUCCGAUUGCGAAGGCAGCUCACUAGACUGUUACUGACACUGAUGCUCGAAAGUGUGGGUAUCAAACAGGAUUAGAUACCCUGGUAGUCCACACAGUAAACGAUGAAUACUCGCUGUUUGCGAUAUACAGUAAGCGGCCAAGCGAAAGCAUUAAGUAUUCCACCUGGGGAGUACGCCGGCAACGGUGAAACUCAAAGGAAUUGACGGGG
rnacentral:rRNA from 1 species